rnacentral:rRNA from 1 species
CCUACGGGGUGCAGCAGUGAGGAAUAUUGGUCAAUGGACGAGAGUCUGAACCAGCCAAGUAGCGUGAAGGAUGACUGCCCUAUGGGUUGUAAACUUCUUUUAUAAAGGAAUAAAACGAGGCACGUGUGCCUUUUUGCAUGUACUUUAUGAAUAAGGAUCGGCUAACUUCGUGCCAGCAGCCGCGGUAAUACGGAGGAUCCGAGCGUUAUCCGGAUUUAUUGGGUUUAAAGGGAGCGUAGAUGGGUUGUUAAGUCAGUUGUGAAAGUUUGCGGCUCAACCGUAAAAUUGCAAUUGAUACUGGCAGUCGUGAGUACAGUUGAGGUAGGCGGAAUUCGUGGUGUAGCGGUGAAAUGCUUAGAUAUCACGAAGAACCCCGAUUGCGAAGGCAGCUUACUAAACUGUGACUGACAUUGAUGCUCGAAAGUGUGGGUAUCAAACAGGAUUAGAUACCCGUGUAGUC